GGGAGUUGGCUUGUCAGAUAUAUGAAGAGGCGAAAAAGUUUGCAUAUCAAACCGUUGUGAAGGUUGCUGUUGCAUAUGGUGGUGCGCCAUUUGGUCAGCAGUUGGCAUCGCCACCUUCGCUGCCC